UUUUAUUAGAUAUAAUUAAUAAUAUAAUCUGCUCAAUGAAAUUUAAAUAGCCGCAAAUAUCUGUGCUAAGGUAGCAUAAUAAUUUGUCUUUUAAAUAAAGACUAGAAUGAAUGAUUAAACAUUUUAAAUUAUAUAUUUAUUAUUAAUAAUAUAAAUUAUUCUAAAUAUAAUAAAACAUUUCUAAAAAAGAAAGACGAUAAGACCCUAUCAAACUUAACUUUAGUUAAACUGGGGCAGUUAAUGAAAAAUCAUUUUAAUUAAAAUAAUCUAACCUAUAACCUAAAAAAUUUAAACAAAGAACAAGUUACUGUAGGGAUAACAGUGUAAUAUAUUCUACAAGACCUUAUACAAAAAUAAGAUUACAACCUCGAUGUUGAAUAGUAACCUUUUUAAUGCAAAAGUUAAAUAAAGGAAGUCUGUUCGACCUUUAAAAAACUACA
rnacentral:rRNA from 1 species